CUAAUACCGGAUACUGACCCUUGCAGGCAUCUGCGAGGUUCGAAAGCUCCGGCGGUGAAGGAUGAGCCCGCGGCCUAUCAGCUUGUUGGUGAGGUAAUGGCUCACCAAGGCGACGACGGGUAGCCGGCCUGAGAGGGCGACCGGCCACACUGGGACUGAGACACGGCCCAGACUCCUACGGGAGGCAGCAGUGGGGAAUAUUGCACAAUGGGCGAAAGCCUGAUGCAGCGACGCCGCGUGAGGGAUGACGGCCUUCGGGUUGUAAACCUCUUUCAGCAGGGAAGAAGCGAAAGUGACGGUACCUGCAGAAGAAGCGCCGGCUAACUACG
rnacentral:rRNA from 2 species